rnacentral:misc_RNA from 1 species
GAUGAAGAACGUAGCGAAAUGCGAUACGUAAUGUGAAUUGCAGAAUUCAGUGAAUCAUCGAGUCUUUGAACGCACAUUGCGCCCCCUGGUAUUCCGGGGGGCAUGCCUGUCCGAGCGUCAUUGCUGCCCUCAAGCACGGCUUGUGUGUUGGGCCUCCGUCCUCCUCCCGGGGGACGGGCCCGAAAGGCAGCGGCGGCACCGCGUCCGGUCCUCGAGCGUAUGGGGCUUCGUCACCCGCUCUUGUAGGCCAGGCCGGCGCUUGCCGACACAUCAAUCUUUUUUCCAGGUUGACCUCGGAUCAGGUAGGGAUACCCGCUGAACUUAAGCAUAUCAAUAAGCGGAGGA